rnacentral:tRNA from 1 species
AUAUUCGUGGUUCAAUGGUAGAAUUCUUGCCUUCCAUGCAAGAGACCUGGGUUUGAUUCCCAGCCAAUGUU